UUAAGCGACUAAGCGUACACGGUGGAUGCCCUGGCAGUCAGAGGCGAUGAAGGGCGUGCUAAUCUGCGAUAAGCGCCGGUAAGGUGAUAUGAACCGUUAUAACCGGCGAUACCCGAAUGGGGAAACCCAGUGUGACUCGUCACACUAUCAUUAACUGAAUCCAUAGGUUAAUGAGGCGAACCGGGGGAACUGAAACAUCUAAGUACCCCGAGGAAAAGAAAUCAACCGAGAUUCCCCCAGUAGCGGCGAGCGAACGGGGAGGAGCCCAGAGCCUGAAUCAGCAUGUGUGUUAGUGGAAGCGUCUGGAAAGGCGCGCGAUACAGGGUGACAGCCCCGUACACAAAAGCGCAUGUGCUGUGAGCUCGAUGAGUAGGGCGGGACACGUGGUAUCCUGUCUGAAUAUGGGGGGACCAUCCUCCAAGGCUAAAUACUCCUGACUGACCGAUAGUGAACCAGUACCGUGAGGGAAAGGCGAAAAGAACCCCGGCGAGGGGAGUGAAAAAGAACCUGAAACCGUGUACGUACAAGCAGUGGGAGCCCCACCACCAAAGCAUUCUCUGGUGUUGAAGGCCCUGCAAAGCAGCAUCGCGGUGGCGGAGCGUCGUUUGCGACGCCCAACACACAAAACAAGCGGUGAAUGCUUUGGGGUGGGGUGACUGCGUACCUUUUGUAUAAUGGGUCAGCGACUUAUAUUCUGUAGCAAGGUUAACCGAAUAGGGGAGCCGGAGGGAAACCGAGUCUUAAUUGGGCGUUAAGUUGCAGGGUAUAGACCCGAAACCCGGUGAUCUAGCCAUGGGCAGGUUGAAGGUUGGGUAACACUAACUGGAGGACCGAACCGACUAAUGUUGAAAAAUUAGCGGAUGACCUGUGGCUGGGGGUGAAAGGCCAAUCAAACCGGGAGAUAGCUGGUUCUCCCCGAAAGCUAUUUAGGUAGCGCCUCGUGAAUUCAUCUCCGGGGGUAGAGCACUGUUUCGGCUAGGGGGCCAUCCCGGCUUACCAACCCGAUGCAAACUGCGAAUACCGGAGAAUGUUAUCACGGGAGACACACGGCGGGUGCUAACGUCCGUCGUGAAGAGGGAAACAACCCAGACCGCCAGCUAAGGUCCCAAAGUCAUGGUUAAGUGGGAAACGAUGUGGGAAGGCCCAGACAGCCAGGAUGUUGGCUUAGAAGCAGCCAUCAUUUAAAGAAAGCGUAAUAGCUCACUGGUCGAGUCGGCCUGCGCGGAAGAUGUAACGGGGCUAAACCAUGCACCGAAGCUGCGGCAGCGACGCUGAUGCGUUGUUGGGUAGGGGAGCGUUCUGUAAGCCUGUGAAGGUGUGUCGUGAGGCAUGCUGGAGGUAUCAGAAGUGCGAAUGCUGACAUAAGUAACGAUAAAGCGGGUGAAAAGCCCGCUCGCCGGAAGACCAAGGGUUCCUGUCCAACGUUAAUCGGGGCAGGGUGAGUCGACCCCUAAGGCGAGGCCGAAAGGCGUAGUCGAUGGGAAACGGGUUAAUAUUCCCGUACUUGGUGUUACUGCGAAGGGGGGACGGAGAAGGCUAUGUUGGCCGGGCGACGGUUGUCCCGGUUUAAGCGUGUAGGUGUGUGUUCCAGGUAAAUCCGGUUCACUUUAACACUGAGGCGUGACGACGAGGCACUACGGUGCUGAAGCAACAAAUGCCCUGCUUCCAGGAAAAGCCUCUAAGCAUCAGGUAACACGAAAUCGUACCCCAAACCGACACAGGUGGUCAGGUAGAGAAUACCAAGGCGCUUGAGAGAACUCGGGUGAAGGAACUAGGCAAAAUGGUGCCGUAACUUCGGGAGAAGGCACGCUGACACGUAGGUGAAGUGAUUUACUCAUGGAGCUGAAGUCAGUCGAAGAUACCAGCUGGCUGCAACUGUUUAUUAAAAACACAGCACUGUGCAAACACGAAAGUGGACGUAUACGGUGUGACGCCUGCCCGGUGCCGGAAGGUUAAUUGAUGGGGUCAGCGCAAGCGAAGCUCCUGAUCGAAGCCCCGGUAAACGGCGGCCGUAACUAUAACGGUCCUAAGGUAGCGAAAUUCCUUGUCGGGUAAGUUCCGACCUGCACGAAUGGCGUAAUGAUGGCCAGGCUGUCUCCACCCGAGACUCAGUGAAAUUGAACUCGCUGUGAAGAUGCAGUGUACCCGCGGCAAGACGGAAAGACCCCGUGAACCUUUACUAUAGCUUGACACUGAACAUUGAGCCUUGAUGUGUAGGAUAGGUGGGAGGCUUUGAAGUGUGGACGCCAGUCUGCAUGGAGCCGACCUUGAAAUACCACCCUUUAAUGUUUGAUGUUCUAACGUGGACCCGUAAUCCGGGUUGCGGACAGUGUCUGGUGGGUAGUUUGACUGGGGCGGUCUCCUCCUAAAGAGUAACGGAGGAGCACGAAGGUUGGCUAAUCCUGGUCGGACAUCAGGAGGUUAGUGCAAUGGCAUAAGCCAGCUUGACUGCGAGCGUGACGGCGCGAGCAGGUGCGAAAGCAGGUCAUAGUGAUCCGGUGGUUCUGAAUGGAAGGGCCAUCGCUCAACGGAUAAAAGGUACUCCGGGGAUAACAGGCUGAUACCGCCCAAGAGUUCAUAUCGACGGCGGUGUUUGGCACCUCGAUGUCGGCUCAUCACAUCCUGGGGCUGAAGUAGGUCCCAAGGGUAUGGCUGUUCGCCAUUUAAAGUGGUACGCGAGCUGGGUUUAGAACGUCGUGAGACAGUUCGGUCCCUAUCUGCCGUGGGCGCUGGAGAACUGAGGGGGGCUGCUCCUAGUACGAGAGGACCGGAGUGGACGCAUCACUGGUGUUCGGGUUGUCAUGCCAAUGGCACUGCCCGGUAGCUAAAUGCGGAAGAGAUAAGUGCUGAAAGCAUCUAAGCACGAAACUUGCCCCGAGAUGAGUUCUCCCUGAGACUUUAGGUCUCCUGAAGGAACGUUGAAGACGACGACGUUGAUAGGCCGGGUGUGUAAGCGCAGCGAUGCGUUGAGCUAACCGGUACUAAUGAACCGUGAGGCUUAACCU
rnacentral:rRNA from 1 species